AUUUAUUAAAGUUUAUUUAAAUUAAACAUUUUUGACUCCACAAAUCAAUAUUUUUUAUUAAAUUAUU
rnacentral:tRNA from 1 species